rnacentral:rRNA from 1 species
GUGGGGAAUAUUCCGCAAUGGACGAAAGUCUGACGGAGCAACGCCGCGUGAGUGAUGAAGGUUUUCGGACUGUAAAGCUCUGUUGUUUAGGACGAAAGUGCCUGUUGCAAAUAGUUACAGGUAUUGACGGUACUGAACGAGGAAGCCACGGCUAACUACGUGCCAGCAGCCGCGGUAAUACGGAGGUGGCAAGCGUUGUCCGGAAUUAUUGGGCGUAAAGAGCAUGUAGGCGGGAAUCUAAGUCUGUUGUGAAAAUGCGGGGCUCAACCGCGUAUUGCGAUGGAAACUGGGUUUCUUGAGUGCAGGAGAGGAAAGGGGAAUUCCCAGUGUAGCGGUGAAAUGCGUAGAUAUUGGGAGGAACACCAGUGGCGAAGGCGCCUUUCUGGACUGUGUCUGACGCUGAGAUGCGAAAGCCAGGGUAGCGAACGGGAUUAGAAACCCUAGUAGUCC